UUAUAGAUUGCUCUGCCAGUUUCCGUUCCAGCGUAAACGUGUUUCUUUUCGUGCGUGACUUCAAUUAUGGCGGUGGGUAAAAAUAAGGGACUUUCGAAAGGAGGUAAAAAAGGUGUUAAAAAGAAGAUCGUCGAUCCCUUUACUCGUAAGGAUUGGUAUGAUGUUAAGGCACCAUCUAUGUUUACCAACCGUCAUGUUGGCAAAACAUUGGUCAAUAGAACUCAAGGAACAAAAAUUGCUUCUGAGGGAUUAAAAUACAGAGUAUUUGAAGUAUCCUUAGCAGAUUUACAAAAUGAUGGAGAUGCAGAAAGAUCUUUUCGUAAAUUUAGAUUGAUUGCUGAAGAUGUACAACAUCGUAAUGUAUUGACAAACUUCCAUGGUAUGGAUUUAACUACAGAUAAAUUAAGAUCCAUGGUUAAAAAAUGGCAAACUCUGAUAGAAGCUAAUGUUGAUGUAAAAACUACUGAUGGAUAUUUGCUUAGAGUUUUCUGCAUUGGUUUUACUAACAAAGAUCAAUUAAGCACAAGAAAAACAUGUUAUGCUCAACAUGCACAGGUCAAAAAAAUCAGGCAGAAAAUGGUAGAUACAAUUACGAAUGAUGUUACAAAAAGUGAUUUAAAGGGUGUAGUCAGUAAGCUUUUACCAGAUGCUACUGCAAAAGACAUUGAAAAAGCUUCACAAGGAAUUUAUCCACUACAUGAUGUUUAUAUUCGCAAGGUUAAAGUAUUAAAGAAGCCACGUUUCGAAUUGAGCAAAUUACUGGAGCUCCACGGUGACGGUGCGGGUAGUAAGAGUGAAGAAGUAGGCGAAAGUGGUUCAAAAGUCGAUAGACCAGAAGGCUAUGAACCACCUGUACAGGAAUCCGUUUAAGAGAAUAAUUCUCUUUCAUAAUUUGAUAUAAAUAAAAACCACGUUUCACUGAUUAAGUUUAUUUCGUACUUCCAAGAGAUUUGAAUUAUCGAAGUCCCACUGAUUGUUGGCAUAAUAUUCAAAAACUUCGAAACCUUUUUGUAUCCGACGUUGUACACGGCACAUACUAUUCAUAGUAAGAGUUUUAUAUCCUUUAAUGUCGUUAAAAUGAUUUGAUUUGGAAAUAAUUGAUCAUCUAUAAAUGAAAAAUUAUAAUUUUAAAAUAUACUUACAUUGGCUUAUAACCUGCAAGGAAAAUAAGUGCAUCUAUGAAAUAAGCAGGUAUCAUAUGAAAGAAUAAAACACAUAUAUUAUG